rnacentral:rRNA from 1 species
CGUAAAGACGCAUGCAGGCGGCCGCGUUAAGUCAGAUGUGAAAGACCCGGGGCGUUAACCUUACCGGAAUUAGCAUUUGUAAACUAGGCAGGCUAGAGUCUUGUAGAGGGGGGUAGGAAGUUUCAGGUGUAGCGGUGAAAUAGCGUAGAGAUCUGAAGGAAUACCAGUGGCGAAGGCGGCCCCCUCGGACAAAGACUGACGCUCAGAUGCGAAAGCGUGGGGAGCAAACAGGAUUAGAUACCCUGGUAG